rnacentral:rRNA from 1 species
UACGAAGGGGGCUAGCGUUGUUCGGAAUCACUGGGCGUAAAGGGCGCGUAGGCGGUGUGUCAAGUCAGGCGUGAAAGCCCCGGGCUCAACCUGGGAACCGCGCUUGAGACUGGCACGCUCGAGUUCGGGAGAGGAUGGUGGAAUUCUCAGUGUAGAGGUGAAAUUCGUAGAUAUUGGGAAGAACACCGAUGGCGAAGGCAGCCAUCUGGACCGACACUGACGCUGAGGCGCGAAAAGCGUGGGGAGCAAACAGG